rnacentral:rRNA from 1 species
UACGAAGGGGGCUAGCGUUGGGCGGAAUUACUGGGCGUAAAGGGCGCGUAGGCGGCACUGUUAGUCAGGCGUGAAAGUCCUGGGCUCAACCUGGGAACUGCGCUUGAUACGGCAGAGCUAGAGGAUGGAAGAGGCUCGCGGAAUUCCCAGUGUAGAGGUGAAAUUCGUAGAUAUUGGGAAGAACACCGGUGGCGAAGGCGGCGAGCUGGUCCAUUACUGACGCUGAGGCGCGACAGCGUGGGGAGCAAACAGG